rnacentral:misc_RNA from 1 species
AAGACUAUAGACCUGCGGAGUACCUGCGGAAGGAUCAUUAUUGAAUUAUGUUUCUAAAUGGGUUGUAGCUGGCUCGUCAGAGCAUGUGCACGCCUGUUUGGACUUCAUUUUCAUCCACCUGUGCACCUAUUGUGGUCUUUGGUUGGGUAUCAAGGAAGUGGUCAGCCUAUCAGCACUUGCUGGAUGUGAGGACUUGCAGUGUGAAAGCUUUGCUGUCCUUUACUUGAUCAUGGAGUUGUU